AGACAGAGACGGACGAGGAGCCCAAGAUGGUGACCGACACCGAGGAGGGGAGACCGGGCCGGAGCCCCGCGGGGGCCAGCAGCAGAUAGUUCCGUGUCCCUCCAGGUGAGGUUACCUGUUCGGAGCUGCAGCGGGGAUGAGGAAGACUCCGCACAGCCACAGCAGAGCCUUCAUCAUGGCGGAAGUUCGUCUGAAGCCGCUGAGCUCAGCAGCGCCUUCACACCUGAGCGGUGGCCACGCCCCCUACACCUGCUGAGCGCGGCAGAUGAACAGUUCAGGUCCUGAGGAGUUUUAACCCUUUACCUGCUGCUUCUGGCGGAACCAGAGCUCUGACCUGCUGGACCUCUAACCCGUCCAGAACCCAGCAGGUUCUGGUUCUAGAAACCCACAACAUUUUAGACUGGAUUAUUACACUUAUCUGAUUUUUUUCUUGUUUUGAGCAGAACUUUGGUGAACUUUAAAUGUACAAUAGAAAUAAACAUUGACUUAACUUUUGCAU